rnacentral:lncRNA from 1 species
UUGGAGCUUAGAAUAUUAGCUAAAGUAUGCAUGUUGGACUUGGAUUUGACUUAGGAGGAAACUAACGAUUCUACACCGUCAUUUGUUCAAACUACCAGAUUUAGCUCUAGAAACUGUAGUUUGUUUGUAUUGCCGCAGUUUGUGGGUAGUGAAUACCCAGAAUAGUGUAAAAUAUAUUUACGCUCAUGCUGAGAUGCCGAGUGUAUUUUUACAGCAGUGUUUAGACUGUUCCGGAUUGUCGGGUGCCGUUGAGGUUGACGGUGGACCCAGAUUGCUGUUUUUGAAUCAGAUUGUGCCGAGAGCACGUGAGUUUAGUUGUUAGACCCUGUUUA